rnacentral:lncRNA from 1 species
GUCAAGGAGAGCCUAAUGGAGAAGGCAGGAGCCUGCCGGUGUGCACAGGAAACAGCAAGGAGGCCGGCGCCACCGCUGCAGCAGAAAGAAAAUACAGUGCCGAGCGAGAGAAGCCAAACACAAAAGAGCACAUAUUGUAAGAUUCCACUUUUAGAAAGCUCUAGAACCAGCAAAACAAAUCUGUCAUGAUCUAUAGUGAUAGAAAUAAGGCAAUCAUAACAGGAGGAAUGAAGAUUAGACUUCAGGAGGAACCGGGGGAAAAGAGGAACCCAGCAGGGCAAAUGUGCUAUUCAUCUGUCAUCUCUUAGCCUGGAAACUUCCCCAGGAGCAGAGUCAUCAAUCACAAAAUGUUAACUCCAAGGGGAUUUUCAAGGUCCAGUCACCCAGCCAAAUGCCAGAGCUCUCCUACCCGGCAGGUAAACCACCUGAAGCUUCGGACCGGCUGGGUCACCUCGGGAAAGUAACUUAACCUCUCUGAACGCCCCCAAGGUCAGAAAGCUUUGCUUUCGGGGGAGAAAGCGGUAUGCAAACAAGACGCAUACGAAACACACACCGCGGGCGCCGGC